rnacentral:misc_RNA from 1 species
CUGAUUUCAAUUUUGGGUUAUAAUGGACAAUGCUCACUGCUCAGACAUAAAGUUCACGGACAAAAACCCGAAAGGAUUGAAGUUUGAUCAAUCGACGCAAUUUUGAUUCUAAGCAAUCAAUCAUAUACCCAUUAGAAGCAAAGGAGAGAAAAAAGGCCCAAAAGAAGAUAAUGGAGAAAGUGAUGAACAUUAUAAAGCCGAAACCAAACCCACAGCAGCAAUUGAGAGAUUGGCAGCGUAGACUCCGUCAAGGGUGUCGCAACAUCGAGCGCCAAAUCCGAGAUAUACAGAGAGAAGAGAAAAAUGUACAAAAAGCAAUCAGAGAUGCUGCCAAGAGGAAUGACAUGGUUUCUGCUAAGGCACUUGCUAAGGAAAUUGUGCGAUCUAGAAGAACAGUAAACCGACUUUAUGAAAAUAAGGCACAAAUGAAUUCAAUAUCAAUGCACCUUGGUGAAAGUGUGGGUAUGUUUCAUCUCAUGCUUAGUUUAUGGUCUAUUAUUGCCUCUAAGGAUUGUAAUCUAUUAGUGUAAGUUUGUGAAUUCAGGUGGUGUAAUUGCUUAUAUACAUUAACUGCAAUGUAUCUUAAUAGUAAAAGGAAUGGAUUCGUUGAAAUAUGUUUUAUAUUUGCAUUACUGGUUGGAACCUGGAAGAUGGGGUGUGCCUUGGUCCAAUGGUAAAGUUGCUCUAUUGUGAGCUGGAGGCCAUGGGCUCGACCCUGGAAAUGGUAUCCUUGCAAUGCAGGGAGAAACCCUGCAUAGCUCUUGUUUGGAAUACCACUAUUAGAGGUUGGAAGAUACUUAUAAUUAACCAGUAUGAGAUUAUUUAAGGGGUGAGAGAAUAUGGAGUUGUUAGUGUGUUAGUUGUGCUUGUACAAGUAAAGCAGGAUGGAUAAAGUGCCCAUCCACCUGGCUAGUGAGUUUUUUUUUUUUUUGGGUGUCUCUUGGGUGUAGAUGAUGGGGAUAAUGCCAUUCUUCUUUAAAAUCCUGUUGUGAAAUAUCCAUAAUGCGGAUAGUCAAUUUGUAUGGUUGUGAUUUCUUAUGAUUUUCAGCAUGCAGAUUAUGCUGCUUGGUCUUUGCUCAAGUGGUUUAAUGGUAGAUAGAUUCUGGUUGGGGUUGUCAGACACUGUACGGAUCCUUUCUCGCCAUUCAGUUCUGUUGGAGCAAUUUUUCUUCAAUUAUUGAUUGCACUUCAGAGAUUUGAAGAGAUCUAAGGUUAGAAGAGGGGCAAGCAGUCUUCCUUCAUAUGCUGGCUUCUCUUGAGGAAGUGGUUAAUCAACAAAGAAUGCUUCUCCUCAUACAAUUAUAAAAACAGACCAAAAAUCUUAUUCAGUUAUGAAGUUGAAGAUUCUUGUUGUCUGGGACUAUCUAAGAUUGAACGUGUUAUGGGAAAGAUGAAAUGCAUAAGGUGUAACUUGUACUUGAAGGAUGAGUAUUUUGGUUCUUCAUGUGUCAACUCUCAAGGAUGUUUUUAGUUUGUCCUUCCCAUCCUUUUGAAUGCAUUCGUGACAUGUACUGUACAAUGUUUGGUAGUUAUGCUUUUACGUGAUAUGUUUUCUAUAGUCUUGUGUCAUAUGCCCUGUAUAAUUGUUGGAUAUUGAUCUUUCAUGUUUGCUAUUGUUAUUGUAUGUUUGAUAUGACUUGCUAUUAAUGUUCAAGGACCUAGUGCUUAUCUUCUUCAAAAUAUUCCUCUUUCUUCUGUGUAUAUCAAGAAGCUGCUUAUAUCUGCCGUUGGUUUAGAUUCUGAACUUAUCAUUUCUUUCAUUCCCUAUCUCAACUAGCUGGCUUAUGCUGCACAAGUUCACUGAAUUUCUUUUUGUAAAAUUUGAGCUACUGCAGGAUAAUAGAGCCAUGGCCUUUCUUAUUCUAAUGGUUAUACGAAUAUAUGAUCUGCUUGUCCAUGUGUUUGUGGUUUGCUUCAUUUUCUGUAAUGAUAUGAAAUGCCAGUACAUCUGUUGGGUGUCUCCCUCUCUCUGCCAUCACUAUAAAAUUUAAAGUGAAGAUGCUUUCCACUUGUUCAAUCCCCCCUACCAUCCUCUUUUUUCUUUCUCUUUUAUCACUAUUUUACCCUGCAUUAUUUUUUUUUUCCAACAUAUUAGGUGAAGAAAAUAAUCACAUUGGAAUGCAGGCACGUGCAUCCCAUGUGCCACAUACAUAAGUAGAAAAAUGUGUACAUACACUGUAUGAUUGCCAUGUCAAGUAAAUAAUGUAGCUUGUGUGAGCUUAUUGUCUAUGUUUAACUGCAUGUCAUUUGGAAUGGAUCCUGCUAUUUUUUUCAAUUUCCAGUAAUCAUUUUGUUAUUUUACUUUUUUUCGGUUGAUAUUGCAGCAAUUGCUCGUACAGUGGGCCAUUUAUCCAAGAGUGCUGAGGUGAUGAAGCUUGUCAAUAAUCUCAUGAAGGCUCCAGAAGUGGCUGCUACAAUGCUAGAGUUUAGCAAAGAAAUGACCAAGGCAGGGGUGAUUGAAGAAUUUGUGAAUGAUGCUGUUGACAAUGCACUGGACUCGGAAGACAUUGAAGAGGAAAUUGAGGAAGAAGUAGACAAGGUCUUGACUGCUAUAGCUGGUGAGACUGCUGCACAGCUACCAGAAGCAGUCAGGAAGGAGAGAGUGAAGCAAUCAGCUGAGACAGCAAGAACAACCGAGGAGGAAGAAGCCAUUGCUGAGGGCGUUGAUGAUGAGGAAGAACUAGAAGAAAUAAGAGCCCGACUUGCAAAAGUUAGAUCUUAAUUUGACCCUUAGAGUCCCUUUCUCUUAUUCUGGUGAAUUAAAGAGGGGCUUCGAGCACAUUUAACUUGCAUGUAGGCGUUGAUCACAAUGAAAUUGCUGCAGACUGAAACUGUAUUCACCAUUGAUAGUGAGUAAAUGAGAUAAAAAGAAAUGUUUGUAUUAUUUAUUGAAAGUGGCUUUUCCUAUAUACUCAAAAGUUAUUAGCUGCAAUGUAUAUCAUACCUAACUUGAGGCAUUGUUGUUGAUGCCUGUCUAACUCCUUAUUUGUAUAAAAAAAAAAAUGGAAUGGUUUGUGAAUAAAUCAUUUCAUGGACUGUUUGAUAGGAUAUUUUAGUUUGGAGCUUGACGCUCUUUGAUGAUUGCAUUUACUUCUAUCUAAUUAUGUUGAAUCACUCGAGUUAUACUCUUC